rnacentral:rRNA from 1 species
UUGAAAGGGAAACGAUUGAAGUCAGUCGUACCAGCGGGAAAUCAACCUUUCGAGUGGUGUUUUGGAGUUUUGAAGUGUGUCAAAACCUUUGAGAUUUUAAAAUUUUCGCUCUUUUGGUGUACUUUCUCGUGGGUAGGUUAACAUCGAUUUUGAUCAUCAUAAAAGGACUGGAGGAAUGUAGCUUCGAUCUUGUAUUGAAGUGUUAUAGCCUUUGGUAAAUGUGAUGAUUAGGAUCGAGGAUUGCAACGAAUACCCUUUUGGGCUAUCCGCCUGAUCUCUGAUACGUGGCCUUGGUAUCGAAAGCGUGCUUAUGGUAUUGAGGUAUUACGGUCAAAAGGUUAGAACGGACUACAUUCGUUAAGGAUGUUGACGUA